rnacentral:rRNA from 1 species
UACAGAGGUCUCGAGCGUGUUCGGAUUCAUUGGGCGUAAAGGGCGCGUAGGCGGUCUUGCAAGUCCCGUGUGAAAUCCCUCGGCUCAACUGAGGAAUGGCACGGGAAACUGCUUGGCUUGAGUUCGGGAGAGGGAAGCGGAAUUCCGGGUGGUAGCGGUGAAAUGCGUAGAUAUCAGGAGGAACACCGGUGGCGAAGGCGGCUUGCUGGGCCAGUUCUGACGCUGAGGAGCGAAAGCGUGGGGAGCGAACAGG